GUGUAAUUACUUCCUUCAAGCCAUCCUGUCGUAUAAAGGUGAAUCCUCCUGCGGAGCCAAAGGUCAACUUCACCUCUGUUUCCUGGUUGUCCCAAGUCCCUGAACAUGAAAGGAUCAGUUCAUACAGAAGUGUAGUGCAGUGGAAGAAGCAGGAUCAGUCAUGGAGUGAUCCUGCUGUGCACAAAAAAAGUGGUAUUCAAUGUGGACAGGAGUGCAAGGCAGAGCUGGAGCCAGAUUUGCUGAUACGAGGCGAGAGGUAAUACGCAAAGAUGUCCCAUGAUGCUCUUUGACAGUAUAUCAGAUGGAAUCAAAUCAGCAGUUGCGAGCAGAUCAGUCGCAGGUCAACCAGCAGGAGAAUCAAGAAGCAGUCAGUACUGAAGUGAGUACAAUCCUUCAACUCUUUGAGUGACUAAACUUUGGAAACAAACCAUCCCAGCGGUCUCUAAGGAAGAAAACUGACUACUUGAAGUAUGGAGAGAAAUAAGAAAACCCUUUCCUUGUUUAUUCUGCUGCCACUGCUACUGGUCUGCAAAAGUGAGGAGUGUCCCCGCCUUCCAAAGAAUCUCACUUGCCACACUGACUACAAUAGAAACAUCACAUGUUUGUGGAAAAGCAAAUACGUGUCUGAUGACACUGCAUGCACGAUAGAUGCUCACUAUAAAUCUCGACGCCUUUCUUACAGCGCUUCCUGUCACCUAAAGCCUGUUGAUGUCUCCAGACCAGCCCUAAAGAAGUGCUCCCUGAUCUUUAAA